rnacentral:rRNA from 1 species
UACGAAGGGGGCUAGCGUUGCUCGGAAUCACUGGGCGUAAAGGGUGCGUAGGCGGGUCUUUAAGUCAGAGGUGAAAUCCCAAGGCUCAACCUUGGAACUGCCUUUGAUACUGGGGAUCUUGAGUCCGGGAGAGGUGAGUGGAACUGCGAGUGUAGAGGUGAAAUUCGUAGAUAUUCGCAAGAACACCAGUGGCGAAGGCGGCUCACUGGCCCGGUACUGACGCUGAGACGCGAAAGCGUGGGGAGCAAACAGG